rnacentral:rRNA from 1 species
GGGUGGUAAUGCCGGAUGCUCCAUCACACUGCAUGGUGUGUUGGGAAAGCCUUUGCGGCAUGGGAUGGGGUCGCGUCCUAUCAGCUUGAUGGCGGGGUAACGGCCCACCAUGGCUUCGACGGGUAGCCGGCCUGAGAGGGCGACCGGCCACAUUGGGACUGAGAUACGGCCCAGACUCCUACGGGAGGCAGCAGUGGGGAAUAUUGCACAAUGGGCGCAAGCCUGAUGCAGCGACGCCGCGUGAGGGAUGGAGGCCUUCGGGUUGUAAACCUCUUUUGUUAGGGAGCAAGGCAUUUUGUGUUGAGUGUACCUUUCGAAUAAGCACCGGCUAACUACGUGCCAGCAGCCGCGGUAAUACGUAGGGUGCAAGCGUUAUCCGGAAUUAUUGGGCGUAAAGGGCUCGUAGGCGGUUCGUCGCGUCCGGUGUGAAAGUCCAUCGCUUAACGGUGGAUCCGCGCCGGGUACGGGCGGGCUUGAGUGCGGUAGGGGAGACUGGAAUUCCCGGUGUAACGGUGGAAUGUGUAGAUAUCGGGAAAGAAACACC